UACAGAGGUCUCAAGCGUUGUUCGGAUUCAUUGGGCGUAAAGGGCGCGUAGGCGGGUGCUCAAGUCCGUGGUGAAAUCCUCCGGCUCAACCGGAGAACUGCCUCGGAUACUGGGUGCCUCGAGGGUGGUAGGGGUAUGCGGAACUAUCGGUGGAGCGGUGAAAUGCGUUGAUAUCGAUAGGAACUCCGGUGGCGAAGGCGGCAUACUGGACCACCUCUGACGCUGAGGCGCGAAAGCCAGGGGAGCAAACGGG
rnacentral:rRNA from 1 species